ACUCAAAGGAAUUGACGGGGACCCGCACAAGCGGUGGAGUAUGUGGUUUAAUUCGAGGCAACGCGAAGAACCUUACCAGGCCUUGACAUGCCUCUCGCGGGCUCCAGAAACGGAGCCCUUCGGUUCGGCCGGAGAGUGCACAGGUGCUGCAUGGCUGUCGUCAGCUCGUGUCGUGAGAUGUUGGGUUAAGUCCCGCAACGAGCGCAACCCUCAUCCUUAGUUGCCAUCAGGUUAUGCUGGGAACUCUAAGGAAACUGCCGGUUUUUACGCCGGAGGAAGGCGGGGACGACGUCAAGUCAUCAUGGCCCUUACGGCCUGGGCUACACACGUACUACAAUGGCAGUGACAGCGCGCCGCUACACAGUGAUGUGAUGCCAAUCGCUAAAAACUGCCUCAGUUCAGAUUGCAGGCUGCAACUCGCCUGCAUGAAGUCGGAAUCGCUAGUAAUCGCAUAUCAGCACGAUGCGGUGAAUACGUUCCCGGGUCUUGUACACACCGCCCGU
rnacentral:rRNA from 1 species